rnacentral:rRNA from 1 species
AGACGUCUACAUUAGAUACCCCCGUAGUCCCAGCCGUAAACUAUGCGCGUUAGGUGUAUCGGUGACCACGAGUCACCGAGGUGCCGAAGGGAAACCGUGAAACGUGCCGCCUGGGAAGUACGGUCGCAAGGCUGAAACUUAAAGGAAUUGGCGGGGAGCACCACAACAGGUGGAGCCUGCGGUUUAAUUGGACUCAACGCCGGGAAGCUCACCAGAUAAGACAGCGGAAUGAUUGCCGGGCUGAAGACUCUGCAUGACUAGCUG